AUUGAACGCUGGCGGAAUGCUUUACACAUGCAAGUCGAACGGCAGCAUAGGUGCUUGCACCUGAUGGCGAGUGGCGAACGGGUGAGUAAUACAUCGGAACGUGCCCAGUCGUGGGGGAUAACGUAGCGAAAGUUACGCUAAUACCGCAUACGAUCUACGGAUGAAAGCGGGGGAUCGCAAGACCUCGCGCGAUUGGAGCGGCCGAUAUCAGAUUAGGUAGUUGGUGGGGUAAAGGCUCACCAAGCCAACGAUCUGUAGCUGGUCUGAGAGGACGACCAGCCACACUGGGACUGAGACACGGCCCAGACUCCUACGGGAGGCAGCAGUGGGGAAUUUUGGACAAUGGGGGCAACCCUGAUCCAGCAAUGCCGCGUGAGUGAAGAAGGCCUUCGGGUUGUAAAGCUCUUUUGUCAGGGAAGAAACACCGGCUCUAACACAGUCCGGGAAUGACGGUACCUGAAGAAUAAGCACCGGCUAACUACGUG
rnacentral:rRNA from 1 species